CUUUUGCCAUUCUUCUGUCGGUUUCAAAGGUAUCUCCGAAGGUGUUAUCGCUGAAACUAACAUAUUGGUCCGUAUUAAAUUAUUGGCCUCCUUCGCUAAUAUUACUAGUUGAGUCUACAACAUCGCAACCUCUACUCGCAGCGUUCUUGCCGUUCCUUCCAAUUAAUCACUAUCCUUACUGUCUCAGAUAUCAUGUUCACCAUCUUCUCCUUAACCACAAAAGAAAAUAUAAUGCUUGUUAAGAGCCCCCCUCCUACUUCUUACUAUGGUCCAAUCAAUUGGGUCAACUUUCUCUUUUGUAACAGAAAAUCCAUCCCGGGUUUAUGUAUAGUAAAGUUUAAGCCGA
rnacentral:lncRNA from 1 species